CUAAGCAUCAGGUAACAUCAAAUCGUACCCCAAACCGACACAGGUGGUCAGGUAGAGAAUACCAAGGCGCUUGAGAGAACUCGGGUGAAGGAACUAGGCAAAAUGGUGCCGUAACUUCGGGAGAAGGCACGCUGAUAUGUAGGUGAAGUCCCUCGCGGAUGGAGCUGAAAUCAGUCGAAGAUACCAGCUGGCUGCAACUGUUUAUUAAAAACACAGCACUGUGCAAACACGAAAGUGGACGUAUACGGUGUGACGCCUGCCCGGUGC
rnacentral:rRNA from 1 species